UGAGGGUGUGAGCACUGAGCAGUGGUGGUUUGAUGAUGGGUCGCCGGAAUAAUUACAAUUUUGGAAACCACAGCCAGCUUGUUAAACACCGUACGUCUUUUCCCUAAUUCCCUGUUGUUCCAGGCGAGUUUCGUAUGGAUGAGAAAAAGACUGCUGGACUGGAGGAGAGAUUCAGUUGAUUGAUCCUUGCAAUUGUUCUUCACAUCAGCUUGCAGAUUGGGAGGAAGGAGAAUUGAGAAAAUAUUAAAGACUCGAAUCAAGUCAAGCCACAGGUAGAGGUUGACUUGAAAUUGGCAACCAAAGAGCAUGAAGACUCAAUUUCAGAAGAGGCUCAGGUUAAACUGGGAGCUGUGUGUGUGUAUAGGGGACCCAGAUGGGAAAAAAACAGUCAAUUCAUCAGUUAACAUCUGAUCGAAAACAGGGUACUCUGUUUUGGGUAUCCGAGCAGCCGGUUUCGUCGGAAGCCACGUCAGUGUCGCCUUGAAACGCCGUGUUGACUACGUUUUAUGGUUAGACAAUUGUAACAAUUAUUACGAUCCUACCCACAAAAGGGCGUCAACAU
rnacentral:lncRNA from 1 species